rnacentral:rRNA from 1 species
CCUACGGGAGGCAGCAGUGGGGAAUUUUGCGCAAUGGGGGAAACCCUGACGCAGCAACGCCGCGUGGAGGAUGAAAUCCCUUGGGAUGUAAACUCCUUUCGAUGGGGAAGCGGUACCCAUAGAAGAAGCCCCGGCUAACUUCGUGCCAGCAGCCGCGGUAAUACGAGGGGGGCAAGCGUUGUUCGGAAUUAUUGGGCGUAAAGGGUGCGUAGGCGGUUUGACAAGUCUUAUGUGAAAUCUAUGGGCUCAACCCAUAGUCUGCAUGGGAAACUGUCGGGCUUGAGUAUUGGAGAGGUGAGUGGAAUUUCCGGUGUAGCGGUGAAAUGCGUAGAUAUCGGAAGGAACACCUGUGGCGAAAGCGGCUCACUGGACAAACUGACGCUGAUGCACGAAAGCUAGGGGAGCAAACAGGAUUAGAUACCCUUGUAGUC